rnacentral:rRNA from 1 species
UACAGAGGUCUCAAGCGUUGUUCGGAUUCAUUGGGCGUAAAGGGUGCGUAGGUGGCGUGGUAAGUCGGGUGUGAAAUUUCGGAGCUUAACUCCGAAACUGCAUUCGAUACUGCUGUGCUUGAGGACUGGAGAGGAGACUGGAAUUUACGGUGUAGCAGUGAAAUGCGUAGAUAUCGUAAGGAAGACCAGUGGCGAAGGCGAGUCUCUGGACAGCAACUGACGCUGAGGCACGAAGGCUAGGGGAGCAAACGGG